UACGUAGGGUGCAAGCGUUUGUCCGGAAUUUAUUGGGCGUAAAGAGCUCGUAGGCGGUCUGUCGCGUCUGCUGUGAAAACUCGGGGCUUAACCCCGGGCCUGCAGUGGGUACGGGCAGACUAGAGUGCGGUAGGGGAGACUGGAAUUCCUGGUGUAGACGGUGAAAUGCGCAGAUAAUCGGGAGGAACACCGGUGGCGAAGGCGGUUCUCUGGGCCUUACCUGACGCUGAGGAGCGAAAGCGUGGGGAGCGAACAGG
rnacentral:rRNA from 1 species